ACUGAGACAUAAAUCACUGUAUACCAAUGGCUCAUUAGAGCAAGAAACAGAGGUGGAGCUGUUAAAAAUUUAUAUAUAGGCAGAGUGCAGUGGCUGACAUCUGUAGUCCCAGCACUUUGGGAGGCCAAGACAGGCAGAUCUUUGAGCUCAGGAGUUUGAGACCAGCUUGGGCAACAUGGCAAAUCCCCGUCUCUACAAAAAAAAUACAAAAAUUAGCUGGGCGUAGUGGCAUGUGCCUGCAGUCCCAGCUACUCUGAAGGCUGAGGUGGGAGAAUGGCUUGAGCCCGGGAGGCGGAGGUUGCAGCAUGCUGAGACCAUGCCCCAGCAACAGAGCUGGAACCUGUCUCAAAAAAAAAAAAAAAAUUGAAUACACACAUACCCACAUAUUUACUUGGGUGUACAUGCCUAAAUCCACUGAGUUAUAUAUAGGUCCACCAUUCUUAAACUACUCAACUGUAUCAUAUGAAUUACAAAAAAAUACUGAUAUCAUGACAUACACUUCAAUUUUCAUCCAUUUCAGAGUUCAAUUUCCCAACAACUUUUGUCAAAUUUUAGACAUUUGACUCUAAAUUCAACAAACUUUUUCUUUAAAUCUUGCUAAAACAGGUAAUCUACAUGAACACUGAUGCAUGCCAUUAUCCUAAGCAAAUUAACCUAGGGACAGAAAAACAAAUACUGCAUGUUCUCACUUGUAAGUGGGAGCUAAAAAAUGGGUACUUAUGGACAUAAAGAUGAGAAUAGAAGACACUAGGAACUACUAGAGUGGGUAGGGAGGGAGGGGUACAAGAGUUGAAAAACCAUUGGGUACUAUGCCAGCUACAUGGGUAGCAGGAUCAUCUGUAUCCCAAACCUUGGCAUCAUGCAAUAUACUCACGUGGCAAAUCUGUACAUUUACCCUGUGAAUCUAGAAAUUGAAAUUAUAAAAAUAAAUACAUAUAAAUGAAUGCAUAGGCGCCCUAAUUAUUCUCUUCUAAAGGUGAGGGUCUUAAUGGCAAAUGACAGUGCAGGUUUUUUGGUUUUUUUUGUUUGUUUGUUUGUUUGAGAUGGAGUUUCGCUCUUGUUGCCCAGGCUGAAGUGCAAUAGUGCGAUCUCAGCUCACUGCAACCUCUGCCUCCUGGGUUCAAGAGACUCCCGUGCCUCAGCCUUCCGAGAGCUGGGAUUACAGGCAUGCACCACCAUGGCUAAUUUUGCAUUUUUUAGUAGAGACAGUGUUUCUCCAUGUUGGUCAGGAUGGUCUCAAACUCCAGGCCUCAGGAUGCAGUGAGCUGAGAUCCCACCACUGCACUCCAGCCUGGGCAACAGAGUGAGACUCUGUCUCAAAAAAAAUAAAAAAUAAA
rnacentral:lncRNA from 10 species